GACGAACGCUGGCGGCGUGCCUAAUACAUGCAAGUUGAGCGAUGAAGAUUGGUGCUUGCACCAAUUUGAAGAGCAGCGAACGGGUGAGUAACGCGUGGGGAAUCUGCCUUUGAGCGGGGGACAACAUUUGGAAACGAAUGCUAAUACCGCAUAACAACUUUAAACAUAAGUUUUAAGUUCGAAAGAUGCAAUUGCAUCACUCAAAGAUGAUCCCGCGUUGUAUUAGCUAGUUGGUGAGGUAAAGGCUCACCAAGGCGAUGAUACAUAGCCGACCUGAGAGGGUGAUCGGCCACAUUGGGACUGAGACACGGCCCAAACUCCUACGGGAGGCAGCAGUAGGGAAUCUUCGGCAAUGGACGAAAGUCUGACCGAGCAACGCCGCGUGAGUGAAGAAGGUUUUCGGAUCGUAAAACUCUGUUGGUAGAGAAGAACGUUGGUGAGAGUGGAAAGCUCAUCAAGUGACGGUAACUACCCAGAAAGGGACGGCUAACUACGUG
rnacentral:rRNA from 1 species